GACGAACCGUCCAAACGUUAUUCGGUAUCACUGGGCUUAAAGCGUGCGUAGGCGGCCAGGUAGGUGAGAUGUGAAAGCCCACGGCUCAACCGUGGAAUUGCGUUUCAAACCAUCUGGCUUGAGGGAGACAGGGGUGUUGGGAACUUAUGGUGGAGCGGUGAAAUGCGUUGAUAUCAUAGGGAACACCGGUGGCGAAGGCGCAACACUGGGUCUCUUCUGACGCUCAGGCACGAAAGCUAGGGUAGCGAAAGGG
rnacentral:misc_RNA from 1 species